UUCGACUUCCCCUGGGGGUAGGGUGCUACGAAAGGAAGUUGAUCAUGAAUUUUCAAUAAAAACUGAAAUGUAU
rnacentral:tRNA from 1 species